AUACGGAGGAUGCGAGCGUUAUCCGGAUUUAUUGGGUUUAAAGGGAGCGUAGGUGGGCUAUUAAGUCAGCUGUGAAAGUUUGGGGCUCAACCUUAAAAUUGCAGUUGAUCCUGGUUUCCUUGAGUACGGUAUAGGUGGGCGGAAUUCGUGGUGUAGCGGUGAAAUGCUUAGAUAUCACGAAGAACUCCGAUCGCGAAGGCAGCUCACCGGGCCGGAACUGACACUGAUGCUCGAAAGUGCGGGUAUCAAACAGGAUUAGAUACCCUGGUAGUCCGCACAGUAAACGAUGAAUACUCGCUGUUUGCGAUACACUGUAAGCGGCCAAGCGAAAGCGUUAAGUAUUCCACCUGGGGAGUACGCCGGCAACGGUGAAGCUCAAAUGAAUUGACGGGG
rnacentral:rRNA from 1 species